rnacentral:rRNA from 1 species
AACAUACGCUGGCGGCACGCCUAACACAUGCAAGUCGAACGCAGUAGCAAUACUGAGUGGCAAACGGGUGAGUAUAAUGUGGGAAUCUGCCUUUUGGUUUGGAAUAACACGGGGAAACUUGUGCUAAUACCGAAUAAGCCCUUACGGGGAAAGUUUUAUGCCAAAAGAUGAGCCCGCACUUGAUUAGCUAGUUGGUAAGGUAAAAGCUUACCAAGGCAACGAUCAAUAGCUGUUCUUAGAGGAAGACCAGCCACAUUGGGACUGAGACACGGCCCAGACUCCUACGGGAGGCAGCAGUGGGGAAUCUAGUACAAUGGGGGAAACCCUGAUGCAGCGAUGCCGCGUGAGUGAAGAAGGCCUUUGGGUUGUAAAACUCUUUCGUCGGGGAAGAAAAUGACUGUACCCGAAUAAGAAGGUCCGGCUAACUUCGUGCC